GGAGCACGCCGCGUGAGUGAUGAAGGUUUUCGGAUCGUAAACUCUGUUGUAAGGCAUUACACGUACGAGAGGAAAUGCUCGUACCUUGACGGUACCUUACGAGAAAGCCACGGCUAACUACGUGCCAGCAGCCGCGGUAAUACGUAGGUGGCAAGCGUUGUCCGGAAUUAUUGGGCGUAAAGCGCGCGCAGGCGGCCUUUUAAGUCUGAUGUGAAAGCCCCCGGCUCAACCGGGGAGGGCCAUUGGAAACUGGAAGGCUUGAGUACAGAAGAGAAGAGUGGAAUUCCACGUGUAGCGGUGAAAUGCGUAGAGAUGUGGAGGAACACCAGUGGCGAAGGCGACUCUUUGGUCUGUAACUGACGCUGAGGCGCGAAAGCGUGGGGAGCAAACAGGAUUAGAUACCCCGGUAGAA
rnacentral:rRNA from 1 species